UUCUACACAUUGAUUUUGAAGGAGCCAUUGGAUCCGAAGCCGUAGCGAAGAUGGUCUCCUGCGCGCGGCCAUAGAGACGAACAUGCAGGAACAGAUCAGCAGCAUGUCUACAAUGGUCAUGGGAUAUGCAUAUUCAUGGGACACUGCGAUCAUCUUCCCACUGGUCAAACUGGUUUUAUCUUUGUGGGAAAGGAAAAAUUGCAAAUUUUAGAAGACAACAGAUGACCAAAGCAUGCAUCACACUAUCCACUACAACAGGUUUGCACAUACACAUCCAUGGCCAACAUUUAUGUCAUAUCCUUAAGGUUUGCAACUACCUAGGCAUUGGCCCUGUUUGGCACAACUGAAACUUACGAGUUUUUUCUGAAAAGCUGCUUAUGGUUUCUGAGAA